GAUGAACGCUGGCGGCGUGCCUAAUACAUGCAAGUCGAGCGAACAGACGAGGAGCUUGCUCCUCUGACGUUAGCGGCGGACGGGUGAGUAACACGUGGAUAACCGACCUAUAAGACUGGGAUAACUUCGGGAAACCGGAGCUAAUACCGGAUAACAUGUUGAACCGCAUGGUUCAACAGUGAAAGACGGUCUUGCUGUCACUUAUAGAUGGAUCCGCGCCGCAUUAGCUAGUUGGUAAGGUAACGGCUUACCAAGGCAACGAUGCGUAGCUGACCUGAGAGGGUGAUCAGCCACACUGGAACUGAGACACGGUCCAGACUCCUACGGGAGGCAGCAGUAGGGAAUCUUCCGCAAUGGGCGAAAGCCUGACGGAGCAACGCCGCGUGAGUGAAGAAGGUCUUCGGAUCGUAAAACUCUGUUAUUAGGGAAGAACAAAUGUGUAAGAAACUAUGCACGUCUUGACGGUACCUAAUCAGAAAGCCACGGCUAACUACGUG
rnacentral:rRNA from 1 species